rnacentral:rRNA from 1 species
CCUUGAAAUACCACCCUUUAAUGUUUGAUGUUCUAACGUUGACCCGUGAUCCGGGUUGCGGACAGUGUCUGGUGGGUAGUUUGACUGGGGCGGUCUCCUCCUAAAGAGUAACGGAGGAGCACGAAGGUUGGCUAAUCCUGGUCGGACAUCAGGAGGUUAGUGCAAUGGCAUAAGCCAGCUUGACUGCGAGCGUGACGGCGCGAGCAGGUGCGAAAGCAGGUCAUAGUGAUCCGGUGGUUCUGAAUGGAAGGGCCAUCGCUCAACGGAUAAAAGGUACUCCGGGGAUAACAGGCUGAUACCGCCCAAGAGUUCAUAUCGACGGCGGUGUUUGGCACCUCGAUGUCGGCUCAUCACAUCCUGGGGCUGAAGUAGGUCCCAAGGGUAUGGCUGUUCGCCAUUUAAAGUGGUACGCGAGCUGGGUUUAGAACGUCGUGAGACAGUUCGGUCCCUAUCUGCCGUGGGCGCUGGAGAAUUGAGGGGGGCUGCUCCUAGUACGAGAGGACCGGAGUGGACGCAUCACUGGUGUUCGGGUUGUCAUGCCAAUGGCACUGCCCGGUAGCUAAAUGCGGAAGAGAUAAGUGCUGAAAGCAUCUAAGCACGAAACUUGCCCCGAGAUGAGUUCUCCCUGACUCCUUGAGAGUCCUGAAGGAACGUUGAAGACGACGACGUUGAUAGGCCGGGUGUGUAAGCGCAGCGAUGCGUUGAGCUAACCGGUACUAAUGAACCGUGAGGCUUAACCUU